AAACAAAUUCUAUUACUGUUUAAUGUUCAUCUAUGCCCUUCUUUUUAUAAUAAUGAACAUGUAUAAUAAUCUAACAGUUUUGUAGUGUGCACUAAACAUGAAAUUUAUUGGGAAACAUAAGUCCAUGACAACUAAAUAAAUAUUU
rnacentral:sRNA from 1 species